GAUGAACGCUAGCUACAGGCUUAACACAUGCAAGUCGAGGGGCAGCAUGGUCUUAGCUUGCUAAGGCCGAUGGCGACCGGCGCACGGGUGAGUAACACGUAUCCAACCUGCCGUCUACUCUUGGACAGCCUUCUGAAAGGAAGAUUAAUACAAGAUGGCAUCAUGAGUUCACAUGUUCACAUGAUUAAAGGUAUUCCGGUAGACGAUGGGGAUGCGUUCCAUUAGAUAGUAGGCGGGGUAACGGCCCACCUAGUCUUCGAUGGAUAGGGGUUCUGAGAGGAAGGUCCCCCACAUUGGAACUGAGACACGGUCCACACUCCUACGGGAGGCAGCAGUGAGGAAUAUUAGUCAAUGGGCGAGAGCCUGAACCAGCCAAGUAGCGUGAAGGAUGACUGCCCUAUGGGUUGUAAACUUCUUUUAUAAAGGAAUAAAGUCGGGUAUGUAUACCCGUUUGCAUGUACUUUAUGAAUAAGGAUCGGCUAACUCCGUG
rnacentral:rRNA from 1 species